CUAAAUCUCAUCUAGAAUAAUUAAAGAAAUGAAUGACAAAGCGAGGACAAAGUCCUAUAAAAGUGCGGCUGGUGGAAGAAGUGGCAGACAGACUGCAAACUCUUAACAAUGAAGGUCUUCGUUGCUCUUUGCCUCCUGUGUAUCGUCAUGGUUCAUUCGGUAGAUCCAGAUUGCGAGAAAAAGGUAGUACCCUGCACUCUGGAAUACUAUCCCUUGUGUGGGUCUGACGGUCGCACCUACGGCAACUGGUGUACCUUCAAAGCCCAGCUGCAGUUGUGCAACCCUAAACUUGAGCUUUCUCACUGCGGGGAGUGUCGCAAAAGCUAAAAAGACAACAGAUGGACUGACAACUUGCUGUCUAUGUAUUACAUUACCGGAACACACAGUCACCUGAUUCUGGCCAUGUUCACUGUACACAAAGUGGUUUGAUAUACACGGUCAAGAUUUGUGUGGUCUAGUAUUGAAGCUGCACUGAACAUGUUUGUCAAGAAAAUUUUGAAGCUUGAAAGGAGCAAGAAAAAAUAAAGUAUUACAUUGAAAUUACCA